GUCCAGGAGCGGGAAUCGAACCCACAACCUUCUGCUUACCGGGCAGGUUUUAUGUCCACUAGGCUAUCCUGGA